AGAUGUUGUUCCUCAAGAUUUUGUUCAGGAAACUGUGAAGGUAGAGCCAGAUCCAGAUGAUGCUAUGCAUGUUGAUUUAGCAAUUGUGACAUCAGGGUCUCUGGAUUCUAGGUUGUUGGCAGAACAGCAUACCAUUGGCUACUCUGAGCCUGAUCCUAAUGAUGUUGGCAAGCAAAGUUCUGUUGGUUGCCUAGAACCUGAUCCUGAUGACUCCUCAAAUGUUGAUAUUCUGAACCUGGAGCUGAGGUUUGAUGGAAGACAGCAUAGCGAACCUGAUCCUGAUGAUGGUACAAAUGAAUUUGUUCUGGAAUAUGGAAACAAGAUGGAAGUGGAUAGUGAACUGACAAACAACAUCACAGUUUUGAAGUCUGAACCUGACCCUGAUGAUUCCUCAAACGCCAUGUUGGUCAUUGAUGGGAAGCAGGGUGGAGAACCUGAUCCUGAUGAUACUACUUGUCUAGUUUCAAAAUCUGGAGAUGAGACGGAAGUUAUAACAGCUCAGCGUAGAAGCUCCGCAGUUUUGAAGUCAGAACCUGAUCCUAACAAUUGUAUUGGUGAUUUAAAAAGCAAUGAGCUGCAAAUGAUUGAAGAACCAGUGGCAGCGCUCUGCGCUCGACUCCAGAAGUCCAUUGAAAUGCUCCGAUUGCAAGCAACACCUGCAGAGGCAGACUCCGCUAUUCAAACACUCUUUAAGAUUAUCAAGAAUGUGAUAGAGCACCCAAAUGAUAUUAAGUAUAAGAGAUUGCGUAAGGUAUAGUUGUCUGUUCUCAUUUCUCAUUUUUCUUGCAAACUGUCAUGUAUCGUUCAUAUAUUCCUGCAAAUUUUUGAUGAAUUUUCCUCGUUUGCCACAUUUGCAGUCCAAUCCACAUUUCCAAAGGAGUGUAGCGAACUAUAAAGGUAUUACUGUUAGAUCCACCAGUUGUCACUGCUUUCUAGAGUCUUGAAUUGUAUUGCAUACUGAUUGUUUAAUCUCUUUUUACUCCAAAACCAGCUGCCAUGGAGGUUCUUGAAUUGAUCGGCUUCUGCGAGGAUGUUGUCUCAGAUGAGAUUGGGCGUGCAGAGACUUACCUGGUAUUGAAAAGGAACGAUCCUGGAUUGCUAUGGUUGGCAAAGUCCUCUCUUGAAGUCACUCUGGCUU
rnacentral:lncRNA from 1 species